rnacentral:rRNA from 1 species
GAUGAACGCUGGCGGCGUGCCUAAUACAUGCAAGUCGAGCGAACGGACGAGAAGCUUGUUUCUCUGAUGUUAGCGGCGAACGGGUGAGUAACACGUGGAUAACCUACCUAUAAGACUGGGAUAACUUCGGGAAACCGGAGCUAAUACCGGAUGAUAUUUUGAACCGCAUGGUUCAAAAGUGAAAGACGGUCUUGCUGUCACUUAUAGAUGGAUCCGCGCUGCAUUAGCUAGUUGGUAAGGUAACGGCUUACCAAGGCAACGAUGCAUAGCCGACCUGAGAGGGUGAUCGGCCACACUGGAACUGAGACACGGUCCAGACUCCUACGGGAGGCAGCAGUAGGGAAUCUUCCGCAAUGGGCGAAAGCCUGACGGAGCAACGCCGCGUGAGUGAUGAAGGUCUUCGGAUCGUAAAACUCUGUUAUUAGGGAAGAACAUAUGUGUAAGUAACUGUGCACAUCUUGACGGUACCUAAUCAGAAAGCCACGGCUAACUACGUG